AGUGAUCCGGUGGUUCUGAAUGGAAGGGCCAUCGCUCAACGGAUAAAAGGUACUCCGGGGAUAACAGGCUGAUACCGCCCAAGAGUUCAUAUCGACGGCGGUGUUUGGCACCUCGAUGUCGGCUCAUCACAUCCUGGGGCUGAAGUAGGUCCCAAGGGUAUGGCUGUUCGCCAUUUAAAGUGGUACGCGAGCUGGGUUUAGAACGUCGUGAGACAGUUCGGUCCCUAUCUGCCGUGGGCGCUGGAGAAUUGAGGGGGGCUGCUCCUAGUACGAGAGGACCGGAGUGGACGCAUCACUGGUGUUCGGGUUGUCAUGCCAAUGGCACUGCCCGGUAGCUAAAUGCGGAAGAGAUAAGUGCUGAAAGCAUCUAAGCACGAAACUUGCCCCGAGAUGAGUUCUCCCUGAGACUUUAAGUCUCCUGAAGGAACGUUGAAGACGAUGACGUUGAUAGGCCGGGUGUGUAAGCGCAGCGAUGCGUUGAGCUAACCGGUACUAAUGAACCGUGAGGCUUAACCUUACAACGCCGAAG
rnacentral:rRNA from 1 species